rnacentral:rRNA from 1 species
AUACAGAGGGUGCGAGCGUUAAUCAGAUUUACUGGGCGUAAAGCGCGCGUAGGUGGCUAAUUAAGUCAAAUGUGAAAUCCCCGAGCUUAACUUGGGAAUUGCAUUCGAUACUGGUUGGCUAGAGUAUGGGAGAGGAUGGUAGAAUUCCAGGUGUAGCGGUGAAAUGCGUAGAGAUCUGGAGGAAUACCGAUGGCGAAGGCAGCCAUCUGGCCUAAUACUGACACUGAGGUGCGAAAGCAUGGGGAGCAAACAGGAUUAGAUACCCUGGUAGUCCAUGCCGUAAACGAUGUCUACUAGCCGUUGGGGGAUUUGAUCCUUUAGUGGCGCAGCUAACGCGAUAAGUAGACCGCCUGGGGAGUACGGUCGCAAGACUAAAACUCAAAUGAAUUGACGGGG